UACGGAGGAGGCAAGCGUUAUCCGGAAUUAUUGGGCGUAAAGCGUCCGUAGGUGGCUCUUCAAGUCUGCUGUGAAAGUGUGGGGCUUAACCCUGCAAAGGCAGUGGAAACUGAAAGGCUAGAGAGCCGUAGGGGUAGAGGGAAUUCCCGGUGUAGCGGUGAAAUGCGUAGAUAUCGGGAAGAACACCAAAGGCGAAAGCGCUCUGCUGGGCCGAAACUGACACUGAGAGACGAAAGCUAGGGGAGCGAAUGGG
rnacentral:rRNA from 1 species